AUACGUAUGGGGCAAGCGUUAUCCGGAUUCAUUGGGCGUAAAACGCGUGUAGGCGGCUUGUUAAGUCAGAUGUGAAAACCGGGGGCUUAACCCGCGGCGUGCAUCUGAAACUGGCAGGCUUGAGUCUGGUAGAGGAAAGUGGAAUUCCUAGUGUAGCGGUGAAAUGCGCAGAUAUUAGGAGGAACACCAGUGGCGAAGGCGGCUUUCUGGGCCACGACUGACGCUGAGACGCGAAAGCUAGGGGAGCAAACAGGAUUAGAUACCCCAGUAGUCC
rnacentral:rRNA from 1 species